rnacentral:rRNA from 1 species
GGCGAACGCUGGCGGCGUGCUUAACACAUGCAAGUCGAACGGAAAGUCCCUGCUUUUUUGGGGUGCUCGAGUGGCGAACGUGUGUGUAACACGUGUGUAACCUGCCCUUUACUUUGUGAUAACUUCAGGAAACUCGGGCUAUUACCGGAUAUGAGCUCCUGCUGCCUGGUGGGGGUUGGAAAUUUUCGGCUGUUGGGGAUGGACUCGGCGGUUUUCAGCUUUUUGGUGGGGUAGUGGCUUACCAAGUUUUUGACGGGUAGUCGGCAUGAGAGGGUGACCGACAACAUUAAGAAUGAGGUAAGGACCAGAGUCCUACGGGAGGCAGCAGUGGAGAAUAUUGCAGAAUGGGCGAAGGUUUGAUGCAGCAAGGCCGCUAGCGGAAUGACGGGAUUCGGGUUGUAAAAAGAGGUUGCUUGUGACGAAGCGUGAGUGACGGUAAUGAGUAAAGAAGCACCGGCUAACUACGUG